rnacentral:misc_RNA from 1 species
CGGUCAAUUGGUUUCGGGUAUGUGGUUGUUAGCGCUUCUCUGGCUACACUUGAAAGUCACAGUGGUGCGAUAUUCUCUGUAAAGUUUGAAGUUUAGCGACCGUACGAGACGUUUGUAAAACACGUAAUAUAGAAUUUUAUGAGUCAAUUAGGUUUAAUAAUUACUCGCCCGAUCGGAAUAAGAGUGGGUACAUUUUUUUGAAAUUUUACUCGACUUUUCAACACGUUCCGUGUCCAGCGAUUGUAUCGGAUCAAUAGCA